UAGUCGCAUGCUGUAGACCCGAAGCGGGGUGAUCUAGCCAUGGGCAGGGUGAAGCGCCGGUAAGACGGUGUGGAGGCCCGAACCCACCAGGGUUGAAAACCUGGGGGAUGACCUGUGGUUAGGGGUGAAAGGCCAAUCAAACUCCGUGAUAGCUGGUUCUCCCCGAAAUGCAUUUAGGUGCAGCGUCGCGUGUUUCUUGCCGGAGGUAGAGCUACUGGAUGGCUGAUGGGCCCUACCAGGUUACUGACGUCAGCCAAACUCCGAAUGCCGGUAAGUGAGAGCGUGGCAGUGAGACUGCGGGGGAUAAGCUUCGUAGUCGAGAGGGAAACAGCCCAGAUCAUCGGCUAAGGCCCCUAAGCGUGUGCUAAGUGGGAAAGGAUGUGGAGUUGCCGUGACAACCAGGAGGUUGGCUUAGAAGCAGCCAUCCUUGAAAGAGUGCGUAAUAGCUCACUGGUCAAGUGAUUCCGCGCCGACAAUGUAGCGGGGCUCAAGCACACCGCCGAAGCCGUGGCAUU
rnacentral:rRNA from 1 species